AUGGCGAAGCGCCCGCGCAACUUCCGGGCGGUGCGGUCCAACUCCUUCGAGUCCUACCUCCGGCGGGCCAUAUCCGAGGCCGGGCUCGCCGUGCCGGGCUGCUGCGCCGACGACGUCGCCGCCGCGCUCCGCGCCCGCCACCCGGACCUGCGCCGCAAGCAGCACGCCCCGCUCGUCGCCGCCGUCCGCCGCGCCCUCCUCACCGUCCCCCUCGCCCCCGCCCCCGGCGCCGACGCCUCCGACUCCGACUCCGAGAUGGACUCCCGCGCGUCCUCCCCCUCCUCCCGCCGCCGGCGCCACGACGCCCACGCCACCGCCUCCUCCUCCACCUCCUACUCCGAGCACGACGACGACGCCCGCGCCCCCUCGCCUCCCCCCGCCUUCGACGUCACCAAGGCCAUGCUCCGCACCCGCUACGCCUCCCUCACGCCCCGGAAGGAGCCCGCCGCAGUCGCCGCUGCGGCCGCCAGCCAGCAGCUCGAGAUCGAGCUCAACGCGGAGAAGCCCCGCCGGCGCGUCACGACCGAUGGCGGCGGCGGCGGCGACCCCAAGCAGGAGGCAGGGGCCGGCGAAGGGGGCGGCGGCGGAGGGGCCAAGGGCCCCAGGUUUUCUGAUCUCGGGGGGAUGGAGUCCGUGAUUGACGAGCUGAUGAUGGAGGUUGUGGUUCCCCUGUGCCACCCGGAGCUGCCGCUGCGGCUCGGGGUUCGGCCUGUGGCGGGGAUUCUGCUGCACGGGCCGCCGGGCUGCGGGAAAACCACGCUCGCCCACGCAAUCGCCAAUGAGACCGGCGUGCCAUUCUACAAGAUAUCUGCGCCGGAAGUCGUAUCUGGGGUCUCUGGGGCUUCUGAGGAAAAUAUCAGAGUCUUGUUUAAGAAGGCGUACAGAACUGCUCCCUCAAUUGUAUUUAUAGACGAGAUAGACGCAAUUGCGUCCAAGAGGGAGAAUUUGCAACGUGAAAUGGAGCGGCGGAUAGUUACACAGUUAAUGACAUGCAUGGAUGAAUUCCACCAGAAUGCUGGAUCGGAUGGUGGUGACUUGGACUCGCAAUCAUCUGAAAAGAAGCCUGGCUAUGUCAUUGUAAUUGGAGCUACCAAUAGGCCGGAUGCUGUUGACCAAGCGCUUCGGAGACCAGGGAGGUUUGAUCGAGAAAUAUCUCUUGGUGUUCCAGAUGAGAUUGGACGGAAACAGAUUUUGAAGAUGCUUACUCAGAACCUAACACUGGAGAAAGACCAAUUUGACCUGUUCAAGAUAGCAAGGGCUACCCCAGGAUUUGUUGGCGCAGACUUGAAGGCAUUGGUAGAUAAAGCAGGGAAUCUGGCAAUGAAGAGAAUAAUUGUUGAAAGAAAAAAACAGAGUGGUGGGGGUGAUGUAAACAACAAGCAGGACUGGUGGCGACAUCCCUGGAGUGAAGGUGAGAUGGACAGCCUAUGUAUCACUAUGGAUGACUUUGAGGAAGCAGCCACAAUGGUUCAACCAUCAUUGAGAAGGGAAGGAUUUUCAUCUGUGCCUGACGUUACAUGGGAGGAUGUUGGAGGUCUUGAUUCGUUAAAGAAAGAAUUUGACCGGUGCAUUGUUCGUUGUAUCAAGCACCCUGAAGUUUAUAAGGAUUUCGGAGUGAACAUGCAAGCUGGGUUUUUGCUCUUUGGACCUCCAGGCUGUGGGAAAACACUAAUAGCAAAAGCAGUUGCACAUGAUGCAGGGGCAAAUUUUAUUCACAUUAAGGGGCCUGAGCUACUGAACAAGUAUGUUGGGGAGAGUGAAUCAGAAGUAAGGAAAAUAUUCACCCGUGCAAGGAUUAACUCCCCAUGCAUCCUGUUUUUUGACGAGAUAGAUGCUCUGACAACAAAAAGAGGGAAAGAGGGAGGAUGGGUUGUGGAACGUCUCCUAAACCAGUUACUUGUUGAACUCGACGGCGCUGAUCAGCGUCAUGGUGUUUAUGUCAUUGGAGCCACGAACAGAAUUGAUGUUAUAGAUGAGGCUGUCCUACGGCCUGGCAGAUUUGGGAAGAAACACUUUGUACCUUUACCUGGUGCUGACGAGCGGGUUGCGAUAUUGAAGGCACAUACUGAAAAGAAAACUCUUUCGGUAGAUGUUGAUUUGAACGCAAUUGCACGUCGAGAGGAGUGCAAUAAUCUCACUGGUGCCGACCUGGCAUCACUGGUGAACGAAGCAGCCAUGGCAGCAUUGGAGGAGAGGUGCGAAUUCCUGGCGAAAGGGGACUCGUCAAUGAGUAGUGACUUGACUAAUAAGAUUAAACUGCGGCACUUUGAGCAUGCUCUGUCUAAAGUAAAGCCCUCGGUAUCAGAACAGCAAAGGAAACACUUCGACGCGCUGUCGAAGAAGUAUUCGGCCAACUGA
rnacentral:rRNA from 1 species